ACUGGUGUGAAAGAAAUAUUCUUUUCUGAUUCCCCAAGUGCGCGUCGCUUGUCUCUUCCUGGGGGCCGAGUAUUUGCUGUAACAAUAUGACCUCAAAGAACCAGCUUUCUGGGCUUGUGGAGGCAGAGGAGGAAGAGGAGUUCUACCAGAUGGCAUCUGGGGGUUUCACAGAAGAAUCUGGAGGUAGGUUUCACGCCCAGCACAGAGCCCAACUUGGAGCUUGAACUCAAGACCCUGAGAUCAAGACCUGAGCUGAGAUCAAGAGUCGAAUGCUUAACUGCUGAGCCACCCAGGAGGUGUACCAAAAGUCCCGUGUCCGGAUUUUGAAUGAGUGCUUCAUUUCAGGAUCAAUUACCUUAAGCUUCCCACAAACUGAAAGCUUCUGGAAGAAAAGAACUGGGUUUGGACUUCUCAGGAGCCUGUGCCCCCUCCUGGAAAGGGCACAGACUUAGAGUUCAACCUGGGUUCAACUCCUGACUUUUAGCCAUUAACAGCCCUAUGACCUUGGGAUUGGAAAUACAGAGAAAGUGGAGCUGCAUCCUUACCUGGGAGUGUGUUCUUAAGGAAGCUUUCUGAGGACCACAAUAUUCACAUCAGAAACCAUGUAGAACAUCGAGGAGUCAAGAGGAAGAUCAUAAUUCAUAGGCUUCAGAAAAUUGAGUUCCUGGAGUGAAUACUGCAAAUGACUAUUCAGAGACCAUGAAGAGUGAGCUUUCAGACCUACCCCUCAGCCACAAGUUACCCGGCAAAGGAGGAGGAGCGAGGAAGAGGUCAGUGCAUCUUCGUGCCAUGGUGCCUCCACAGUAAACCAAAAGAAUGCACCAAGGAAGCUGAAUAGUGGCUUGGUGCUGUUUAUGCAGAAUUUCCAAAUCAGAGAAGGCAGAUCCCUUAUCCAAAACUUGGUGCGUUGGCCCACCUACCCUGGAAAGCAGGCUAUGGAUUGCCCCAGAUAAAAUACUAGAUGCUGACCUCUGAACCACUUAUUUAAAUUCAUUUCUGGCUUAUUCUUUCCAAAUAGCAAUUGAGUUUGACUAUUGUGUUCAGCCAUCUGCAGCCCAUGUUUAUAAUUGUUCAUGCUAUCAUUGUCUCUGAGAUUUUCCUAGUUAAUAUUAUUAAGGGGUGGAUAUAUGACUUCCUGGGUGGUUCAACUCACUCUUCUGGUCUGUUUUGAUAAGAAAGUGCCUACCUGCUGCACCAAGGGGCUUUCACUGGCAUUUUAAAUUUUUGCUUGUGAGGAAAUAAUAUAGGAGACAGAAUCACUCUACUGGUUGCCUUUCGGAUAUAGAAUUCUGCUUAAUUUGCAAAAACUAUUUAUAAAUUCUAACUAUUAACUCAGCCUUUCUUGCUGGCCUCACAAAAGCAGCUCUUAGGAAAUAAAGCAUUUGGGACCCAAUGGGAAAGAUUCCAAGCUUGUUCUGCCGAAUCUCCUGAGUUAUCCUGAGUCCCACCUGAGAUUUUGGGAUUCUUCUAUUAAGAAGGGGAGGGAGAGAUUGGCCCCAUUUGGAACAUAGAUGAUAGGGAGUAAAUAGACUUGUCUGUUUUUCAAAGAUAAUUGCGGGUUAUGAAACAAAGCUAAGUAGGCAGCAAAAUCCUACGCAGAUUACAAAAGACAUUUUACAUCUCUGCGUUAGCACACGUAAUUUUAGGCCCCGGAGCAAUGUCUGGUGGACCAGUUGAAUGUGCUAGGGCAAUUGUUUAAU